CCAGGAAGGAAGACGAAGGGGGUGCAAUACCCUGCUCAAUAAGUAUAGCUUUUAAUAUAGCCGAGGUUAUGAUAAUAGUCAUGAUCAGUUUGUCUGCGAAGUUAGACUGCUACCGAACCUAAAACAAGUAUAACACAUUCUCUUCGUAUCGGGACAUGGGUGUCUGUUAGUAGCCUAUUUCCAAUGGCGCAGAACGAGACUAACUAAAGCUUGUCAUGACGAGAUUCAUAUGAAUGAUAUGGGGAGUGGCUGAAACAUGGAACAGCAAGGCAACACAAAACAGGACGGCAGUCUAAAGGGGCAAAGCUCAUAUCACCAUGAGAGGCCUCCAUCACCUGUGCCCACUUGUGUGUCCAUGAAGAGUGACCAGUCAGAGGGUCGUGGGAUAAACUUCAAAGAUGAUGACGUCACAGAUGAAUCAAGGCAAGUCCAU